AGCCAGUCAGGCCUUGUUUCAUGAAAACAAAUCCAGUGAAUUAUUCAGAACAAUCAAGAGUGAAUGCAGGCUGGGUGAGGCUUUGCUGGGUGUGUGGUUGCAAAACUCUGAGAGAUUUGGUUUCCUCUCGUGUAGAAUGAAGAUAAAUGACAACAACCUGGCAGAAAUGUGACCAGGGAAGCUGUAGCCCAAGCUAGUGUCUUAACACCAGUCACUUAACUCAUGAACACCCGAGCACUGGGCAGGCUUGAGGGAGUAAGCAAAGGUGGUUGAAUCUGAGUUUCUAGCCUGGGGAUGUUUUGGUGAAGCGUAUAUAUUUGGGGCAGGAAGAAAAAAGGAGCAGGAAAGAUGGUGGGGUUGUACCACCGAGGUGUGCUGGUCACUUUGUUUAGGCACAGUUUAACCGUCUUUGUGUUUCUCAGUGGAAUGAAAUGUUUUCCAAAUUUGGACAAGGCUGAGUAGCCAAUGGGCUGCUGCAGUGAGUCCUCUGCAAAUGAGCUCAAGCAAAGUUUAUUGUUUACUGUGUCCUGGGCACGUGAGCGGGGCAGACAGUGCCUCGCUUUGUGGAUGCCACAGACAUUCCACAGAAGAACCAAUGUCAGAGCUGUGCUGGAGGACAGGGUGCCGGUAAAACUCCAACAAGUUCUGCUUCCCACUCAUCUGGGAACCACCUGCCUCUCAGGCAAGAAGACCUUAUGGCACCCAACGUUGGAAUUGGAAGCAGGUUUUGGGGCUCAGAGCAGCUAACUGCAAGUGUAAUCUCUGAGAGCAGAUUUGGGGUCUGCUGAGAUCUCACACUACUGAGUUAGAGACAUUCCAGAAGUCUCAGCUUUCUACGCAGCCCUGAGGAAAUGGAGGAUUGCCGCAGAGGCUCUUUGCUCUCCCGUCUCACCUCCCUGCUUCUCUUCUUCCAGUUGCCUGCUGGGGGGUCUGUAGAGGAGUUUGUGGUGAUUGGCCCCCCGGGCCCCAUUGUGGCAGUGAUUGGUGGGAACGUCACGCUGCCCUGUCAUGUGUCCCCAGCCAUGGAUGUGGAAAACAUGGAGCUGCGGUGGUUCCGCUCCAAGUUCUCAGAGGCAGUGUUCAUCUAUGAAAACCAGCAGGAACAGAAAGAAGAGCAGCUGGCUCAGUACACAGGGCGGACCUCGCUGGUGAAGGACUUCCUCAGCCAGGGGGAGGCCACUGUGCGUAUCCACAAGGUCCAGGCUUCCGACAACGGACUGUAUACAGCUUCUUCAGAAAGGGAAGUUUCUAUGAAGAGGCCAGUUUGGAGCUGA
rnacentral:lncRNA from 1 species